GCACUGCUGAAGAGUGCCUUACUAGGACGAAACGACCGUCCAGUGC
rnacentral:hammerhead_ribozyme from 1 species